rnacentral:misc_RNA from 1 species
UCCGGUUUAUCACCGGCAGUCACCUUAGAGUGCCCAACUUAAUGCUGGCAACUAAGAUCAAGGGUUGCGCUCGUUACGGGACUUAACCCAACAUCUCACGACACGAGCUGACGACAACCAUGCACCACCUGUCACCACUGUCCCCGAAGGGAAAGGUAUAUCUCUAUACCGGUCAGUGGGAUGUCAAGACCUGGUAAGGUUCUUCGCGUAGCUUCGAAUUAAACCACAUGCUCCGCUGCUUGUGCGGGCCCCCGUCAAUUCCUUUGAGUUUUAGCCUUGCGGCCGUACUCCCCAGGCGGGAUGCUUCCUGCGUUCGCGCCGGCACGGAGGGAGUCGAUGACCUCCCACACCUAGCGCCCAUCGUUUACGGCGUGGACUAC